ACACACUUGCUGUCACUUUACCGCUAUUAUUCACGGCUUUUCUAAGUGCAGCUGCAUUACCUAGGCAACUGCCGCGCUGAAACUUUUGCAAUUUUUAAAUGCAAUUUAGAUGUUUGGUUAAUAGUGCAUAUAAAUUUAUAAAUCUAAAGUGUUUGAUACAAGCUUGGUUGCUAAAAAGAUAUAAUAAUGAUGAAGAGAACUGUGACACGUGCAUUCAUAUACCAGUUUGGUGAAGUUAGAUGACGAGUUUUGCCAACAAAUACCUUAAGAACUCGUAUUAACUGAACAAUGGUAGUGUUAUUUUAGUGACAAAACGUGAAACCAAUAUUUCCUUACAAUUUCAUUGAAGUAAUCCUAAGGCUUCUUAUAAAAAUGUGAAGGGUGCAUUUUACAAACGCACAAACUUAUUUUGCUGAACAAAGAUGGCGUAAUGCGAAUUACUAGAAGCAUAAUUGAACGAAGCGCGUGGGCCUCGCUCGACUAAAGACGCAAUGCAACCGAAGAAUAUAUGGAUAGUCAUAUUUUAUGCAAGGUUAAUGUUUAGAUAUUGCGUUCUGUUUUAUAAGUAACACCAAUCGUCGAAUAAUUAACUAGCAUCACUUUUACUAAUUUUUUUUGCACGAGGUUGCCCCCCGUUAAGUUUCAAUUGUUGUGAUCAAAUGAUUCUGAACAUAUCAAUAUGCACCUUUCAGUCUAAAAAAAUACGAAAUCUAUUUUUGUAUUUUCUUGACUUCUACAGUGUUUUAGAACACUUACAAUUGCCACUUCAAAUCUUACUGGUAGUCUUCUUCUGCCUAUCAUUGAAGGGCGACUGGCGAAGUCGUCGAAAAAUGAUAUCCACCAAUCGAAGGAACUGUGCAUUUAAGAUCCUGUUAAUUUAGCGAAUUCAGUGCGACCAGUAUUAAACGUGACAAAAUAAUAUUUGUGGCUUCCUGGCGAACAUUAAAACAAAUUAUCGUUUUAAAUUCUAUGUUUGCUGAAAUUAUCAUACCAAAAUCAGGCAAAGUGGUCCCUACGUUAAGUCAUACCGAUUUACAUUAUAAACACUGCUGUGAUAGAAUACCAUCACUCUGUUCAACCAGAGAAAACAUCGCUAUGCACUCCACUACAAAUGGGGCUACAAAUGCUGUGGCACCAAGGUAGCAGUAAACAUUUAUCUACUUGAACGUGCACCGAAAAAAUUAUUGUGCACAACAACAUAAAUGGGAAUGCAAAGGCUGCUGAAGGAUCAUUGGCAGAACUGGCAGAAUAAUCAAACAUAUGAGACGUAUUCGCUUUCCAUGUAUUAAUGUAUGUAAGUUUAAUUAUCGAAAGAAUUCGUCUAGUUAAUACAAAAUUUUGGUAAAAUAUCACAAUUGGGAAUUGUUACCAAAAGUCUAAUUAGCUUAGUGCAUUAAAAAUGGGUUAGAUUUUUCACUUUUAAUGCUUCGAUCGGUUUUACUGGUUAUACGACAGCAAUGAUUUCUUUUUUAUAUACUAUAUUCGUACAUAUACCAGUGUUUUUAUUAAAACUUCUAUGCGUCGCGAGAUCUCAGCCAAUAAUUUUAAUUAAAUCACUAGUUUGAAUUUCACACUGUUAAAGUUAACUUAUUAUCCCACUUCUGAAUAAUGCGAAAACGCAUAUAGAAAACUCCGUUUAUAGUAUGGCUUGGGCUUAUAUACCCAAGCUUACUAACAAAAUACCGUAUUCUAAAGCAAUAUGGAAAAAGAAACAAAAUAAUGUUAUAAUAGGGUUGCAAAAUGCUCUACUCUGCUAAAAAAAAAUAUUAAGGUGUGUUCACACCAUACAAAAACUUAAGUGUGUAAAUUUAUUACAUUUAUAGAACCACCUCCUGUUAUACUUGUAGUUAGGGUACUCACUACAUCACCCCCUUUCCAACAAAUUUGAGAAAACACCUCACUGCUUAACCGCUAUUCCUUACUUUAUUUUAGUCUAGAAUGUAUUCAUCCUAUUUAUUACUAGUUUUAGUUUAGAAUGUAUUCAUCCUAUUUAUUAUUUUAUAAUCUAUUAUUUAAAGAGCUCUGAUAAUAGCUCAUCAGUACGUAUUAUAAAAGCUUCGGGUGGUACUUCCUUAAAUAUGGGGAUUACUUCAUCUUAUAAUUUGGUAUAGUUUUAAACCUAGUCUCUUGCCGUGCAUAAAACGCUUCGCAACUUGGUUUUAUACAUAUCUUGUUUCUUCCCAACUUCAUGUGUUGAGGUUUUGAGGUAAGGAGAAGGGAGUUUUUGGUAUUACUAUGCCAGUUAAGGGGUAUUCUAGUCUAGAGGCCCGAAUUUCGAGCAUUUUUUGACGAUGAAUAAAAAAAAAAGCUAUUGAUAUUUUUACGAUACAUUUUUUUAUCAUUUAUUUAUUCACAAUAGAGUGCACAAUACUCACAGGAUGUGGUACCGGAGAAGAUGUAUUGAUUCCCCGAAUCCCUCUGAUACCAUCGGAUCUACCAUUCCAAUUUAAA